GCUGACCGUACACGUGGGGGCAUCUGAGUGUAUGUGAUCGUCGAAGAAGUAUAAAGAGCUUUGCUGAAUUUUUGAAGCGUUGCGUUGAAUGAUAUGUGAAUGAGCUCGUUCUCGUCGGCGGUUAAAGAUCCCGGAAAGUCAAGAAGUGUGUCGAUGCAUAGGUUCGGGUAUAAGGAUUUGCUACAGGUUCGGGAGAUUGCUUGGGUCGGUUUACGGGUUAGUUUCGGCUCGGUUUUACCCGAGUCUACGGCUCGGAUGCCGGCAAAGAUACCG